UAAUACAGAGGGUGCAAGCGUUGUUCGGAAUUAUUGGGCGUAAAGCGCGUGUAGGCGGCUUUGCAAGUCGGGUGUGAAAGCCCUCAGCUCAACUGAGGAAGUGCGCCCGAAACUGCAGAGCUUGAGUGCCGGAGAGGGUGGCGGAAUUCCCCAAGUAGAGGUGAAAUUCGUAGAUAUGGGGAGGAACACCGGUGGCGAAGGCGGCCACCUGGACGGUAACUGACGCUGAGACGCGAAAGCGUGGGUAGCAAACAGGAUUAGAUACCCUGGUAGUCCACGCCGUAAACGAUGAGAACUAGGUGUCGUGGGAGUUGACCCCCGCGGUGCCGAAGCUAACGCAUUAAGUUCUCCGCCUGGGAAGUACGGUCGCAAGACUA
rnacentral:rRNA from 1 species